AGUGAACGCUGGCGGUAGGCCUAACACAUGCAAGUCGAACGGCAGCACAGAAAGAGCUUGCUCUUACGGGUGGCGAGUGGCGGACGGGUGAGGAAUACAUCGGAAUCUACUUUUUCGUGGGGGAUAACGUAGGGAAACUUACGCUAAUACCGCAUACGACCUACGGGUGAAAGCAGGGGAUCUUCGGACCUUGCGCGAUUGAAUGAGCCGAUGUCGGAUUAGCUAGUUGGCGGGGUAAAGGCCCACCAAGGCGACGAUCCGUAGCUGGUCUGAGAGGAUGAUCAGCCACACUGGAACUGAGACACGGUCCAGACUCCUACGGGAGGCAGCAGUGGGGAAUAUUGGACAAAGGGCGCAAGCCUGAUCCAGCCAUACCGCGUGGGUGAAGAAGGCCUUCGGGUUGUAAAGCCCUUUUGUUGGGAAAGAAAAGCAGCAGGUUAAUACCCCGCUGUUCUGACGGUACCCAAAGAAUAAGCACCGGCUAACUUCGUG
rnacentral:rRNA from 1 species